AUUUAAGUAGUUUAUAUUAAAAUGUUGGAUUGUGAUUCCAGAGAUGUAGAUUAUUACCUUAAAUC
rnacentral:tRNA from 1 species